rnacentral:rRNA from 1 species
GUUGUAUGGUUAAGUGACUAAGCGUACACGGUGGAUGCCUUGGCAGUCAGAGGCGAUGAAAGACGUAGUAACUUGCGAUAAGCCCAGAUUAGGUAGUAACAACCAUUUGAGUCUGGGAUUUCUGAAUGGGGAAACCCACGUGCAUAAGCACGUAUCCUUACCUGAAUACAUAGGGUAAGGAGGCGAACCGGGGGAACUGAAACAUCUAAGUACCCCGAGGAAAAGAAAUCAACCGAGAUUCCGAAAGUAGCGGCGAGCGAAAUUGGACUAGCCCUUAAGCUUUACACGCGUUAGACGAACGGUCUGGAAAGUCCGACGAUACAGGGUGAUAGUCCCGUAGUUGACGACGUGUGUUCAGUGAAAUCGAGUAGGGCGGGACACGUGAUAUCCUGUCUGAAUAUGGGGGGACCAUCCUCCAAGGCUAAAUACUACUGACUGACCGAUAGUGAACCAGUACCGUGAGGGAAAGGCGAAAAGAACCCCUGUGAGGGGAGUGAAAUAGAACCUGAAACCGUGUACGUACAAGCAGUAGGAGCAGGCUUUGUCCUGUGACUGCGUACCUUUUGUAUAAUGGGUCAGCGACUUAUAUUCAGUGGCAAGGUUAACCAUCUAGGGGAGCCGUAGGGAAACCGAGUCUUAACUGGGCGUUCAGUCUCUGGAUAUAGACCCGAAACCAGGUGAUCUAGCCAUGGGCAGGUUGAAGGUUGAGUAACAUCAACUGGAGGACCGAACCGACUAAUGUUGAAAAAUUAGCGGAUGACUUGUGGCUAGGGGUGAAAGGCCAAUCAAACCUGGAGAUAGCUGGUUCUCCCCGAAAGCUAUUUAGGUAGCGCCUCGGACGAAUACUACUGGGGGUAGAGCACUGUUAAGGCUAGGGGGUCAUCCCGACUUACCAACCCUUUGCAAACUCCGAAUACCAGUAAGUACUAUCCGGGAGACACACGGCGGGUGCUAACGUCCGUCGUGGAGAGGGAAACAACCCAGACCGCCAGCUAAGGUCCCAAAUUACUACUAAGUGGGAAACGAUGUGGGAAGGCUCAGACAGCCAGGAUGUUGGCUUAGAAGCAGCCAUCAUUUAAAGAAAGCGUAAUAGCUCACUGGUCGAGUCGGCCUGCGCGGAAGAUGUAACGGGGCUAAGUAGUAAACCGAAGCUGCGGCAAUAUACUUUUGUAUAUUGGGUAGGGGAGCGUUCUGUAAGCGGUUGAAGGUGUGUGGUAACGCAUGCUGGACGUAUCAGAAGUGCGAAUGCUGACAUGAGUAACGAUAAAGGGGGUGAAAAACCUCCUCGCCGGAAGACCAAGGGUUCCUGUCCAACGUUAAUCGGGGCAGGGUAAGUCGACCCCUAAGGCGAGGCCGAAAGGCGUAGUCGAUGGGAAACGGGUUAAUAUUCCCGUACUUCUUACAAUUGCGAUGGGGGGACGGAGAAGGCUAGGUGGGCCUGGCGACGGUUGUCCAGGUUCAAGUGCGUAGGCUUAAGAGUUAGGUAAAUCCGGCUCUUUCUAAGGCUGAGACACGACGUCGAGCACCUACGGGUGUGAAGUCAUUGAUGCCAUGCUUCCAGGAAAAGCCUCUAAGCUUCAGAUUGUAAGGAAUCGUACCCCAAACCGACACAGGUGGUCGGGUAGAGAAUACCAAGGCGCUUGAGAGAACUCGGGUGAAGGAACUAGGCAAAAUGGUACCGUAACUUCGGGAGAAGGUACGCUCUCGACGGUGAAGUCCCUCGCGGAUGGAGCUGACGAGAGUCGCAGAUACCAGGUGGCUGCAACUGUUUAUUAAAAACACAGCACUGUGCAAAAUCGUAAGAUGACGUAUACGGUGUGACGCCUGCCCGGUGCCGGAAGGUUAAUUGAUGGGGUUAGACUUCGGUCGAAGCUCUUGAUCGAAGCCCCGGUAAACGGCGGCCGUAACUAUAACGGUCCUAAGGUAGCGAAAUUCCUUGUCGGGUAAGUUCCGACCUGCACGAAUGGCGUAAUGAUGGCCACGCUGUCUCCACCCGAGACUCAGUGAAAUUGAAAUCGCUGUGAAGAUGCAGUGUACCCGCGGCUAGACGGAAAGACCCCGUGAACCUUUACUACAGCUUGGCACUGAACAUUGACCCUACAUGUGUAGGAUAGGUGGGAGGCUUUGAAGCACGUACGCCAGUAUGUGUGGAGCCGUCCUUGAAAUACCACCCUUGUAGUGUUGAUGUUCUAACGUCGACCCCUAAUCGGGGUUGCGGACAGUGCCUGGUGGGUAGUUUGACUGGGGCGGUCUCCUCCCAAAGAGUAACGGAGGAGCACGAAGGUGGGCUAAUCACGGUUGGACAUCGUGAGGUUAGUGCAAUGGCAUAAGCCCGCUUGACUGCGAGAAUGACAAUUCGAGCAGGUGCGAAAGCAGGUCAUAGUGAUCCGGUGGUUCUGAAUGGAAGGGCCAUCGCUCAACGGAUAAAAGGUACUCCGGGGAUAACAGGCUGAUACCGCCCAAGAGUUCAUAUCGACGGCGGUGUUUGGCACCUCGAUGUCGGCUCAUCACAUCCUGGGGCUGAAGUCGGUCCCAAGGGUAUGGCUGUUCGCCAUUUAAAGUGGUACGCGAGCUGGGUUUAGAACGUCGUGAGACAGUUCGGUCCCUAUCUGCCGUGGGCGUUGGAAGAUUGAAGGGGGCUGCUCCUAGUACGAGAGGACCGGAGUGGACGAACCUCUGGUGUUCGGGUUGUGUCGCCAGACGCAUUGCCCGGUAGCUAAGUUCGGAAUCGAUAACCGCUGAAAGCAUCUAAGCGGGAAGCGAGCCCUGAGAUGAGUCUUCCCUGAUACUUUAAGUAUCCUAAAGGGUUGUCGGAGACUACGACGUUGAUAGGUCAGGUGUGUAAGUGCUGUGAGGCAUUGAGCUAACUGAUACUAAUUGCCCGUGAGGCUUAACCAUACAACACCCAAGGGGUUU